UUAUUCUCUUCAUGAAUGACGUAAAACCAUUGGUGAAACACAACACGUCAAUGUGUCAGCUCCGUGCGCUACGGGGACUCUAAAGGUACAGCUGCGGCAACUAGCGUCUGGAGCUGAACCAUCACUAUGGUAGAGCUGACCUGGUUCUGUGAGCGCUUCAGACCCACCUAACCAGACUAGCGUCUGGAGCUGAACCAUCACUACGGUACAGCUGACCAGGUUCUGUGAGCGCUUCAGACCCACCUAACCAGGCUAGCGUCUGGAGCUGAACCAUCACUACGGUACAGCUGACCAGGUUCUGUGAGCGCUUCAGACCCACCUAACCAGGCUAGCGUCUGGAGCUGAACCAUCACUACGGUACAGCUGACCAGGUUCUGUGAGCGCUUCAGACCCACCUAACCAGGCUAGCGUCUGGAGCUGAACCAUCACUACGGUACAGCUGACCAGGUUCUGUGAGCGCUUCAGACCAACCUUAUCAACAAACGACGUACGAAAGAGAUUCGUAGCAAAGAACGUUUCGGGAAACAAGUGAAGAACUUAAAGAAGAGGUUACGAAUGAUGUAGCGUUAAGAAGGCUUUAAGAAGGUUCCGGGAAACAGUUCGCAUCCGUAGCCAAUUGGGGCCAAAUUAAACAACUUAUUUUAAUAAGGAUGUUGUCUCGUUGUUCUUUGUUUCGCCGUGAGUACAGCAAGGCGC
ensembl:lncRNA